GAUGAACGCUGGCGGCGUGCUUAACACAUGCAAGUCGAACGGAAAGGCUCCUGCUUGCAGGGGUACUCGAGUGGCGAACGGGUGAGUAACACGUGGGUGAUCUGCCCUGCACUUCGGGAUAAGCCUGGGAAACUGGGUCUAAUACCGGAUAGGACGAUGGUUUGGAUGCCAUUGUGGAAAGUUUUUCGGUGUGGGAUGAGCUCGCGGCCUAUCAGCUUGUUGGUGGGGUAAUGGCCUACCAAGGCGUCGACGGGUAGCCGGCCUGAGAGGGUGUACGGCCCCAUUAGGACUGAGAUACGGCCCAGCCUCCUACGGGAGGCAGCAGUGGAGAAUAUUGCACAGUGGGCGCAAGCCUGAUGCAGCGACGCCGCGUGGGGGAUGACGGCCUUCGGGUUGUAAACUCCUUUCGCUGGGGACGAAGCGCAAGUGACGGUACCUGGAGAAGAAGCACCGGCUAACUACGUG
rnacentral:rRNA from 1 species